rnacentral:rRNA from 1 species
UACAGAGGGUGCAAGCGUUAAUCGGAAUUACUGGGCGUAAAGCGUGCGCAGGCGGUGAUGUAAGACAGAUGUGAAAUCCCCGGGCUCAACCUGGGAAUUGCGAUGGAGACUGCAAGGCUAGAAUCUGGCAGAGGGGGGUAGAAUUCCACGUGUAGCAGUGAAAUGCGUAGAGAUGUGGAGGAACACCGAUGGCGAAGGCAGCCCCCUGGGUCAAGAUUGACGCUCAUGCACGAAAGCGUGGGGAGCAAACAGG